rnacentral:rRNA from 1 species
UACGUAGGAUGCGAGCGUUGUCCGGAAUCACUGGGUGUAAAGGGAGCGCAGGCGGUUUAGCAAGUCAUUGGUGAAAUUCUCAGGCUCAACCUGGGGGCUGCCAAUGAUACUGCUGAUCUUGAGUGUGGAAGAGGUAGAUGGAAUUCCUGGUGUAGCGGUGAAAUGCGUAGAUAUCAGGAAGAACACCGAUGGCGAAGGCAGUCUACUGGUCCAUUACUGACGCUCAUGCUCGAAAGCGUGGGGAUCAAACAGG